GUGACAGCCGCCGCGGUAAUACGUAGGUGGCAAGCGAUACUCGGAAUCACUAGGCGUAAAGCGCAGGUAGGCGGUUCAGUAAGUCUUUUGUGAAAGCUCCCGGCUCAACUGGGAGAGGCCAAGGGAAACUACUGGACUAGAGUGUGGUAGGGGAUACUGGAAUUCCUGGUGUAGCGGUGAAAUGCGUAGAUAUCAGGAGGAAUACCUAUGGCGAAAGCAGGUAUCUGGGCCAUCACUGACGCUGAGCUGCGAAAGCUAGGGGAGCAAACAGGAUUAGAUACCCUGGUAGUCC
rnacentral:rRNA from 1 species